GGAAGUAAAGUCGUAACAAGGUUUCCGUAGGUGAACCUGCGGAAGGAUCAUUCAUAAUAAGUGUUUUAUGGCACUUUUUUAAUCCAUAUCCACCUUGUGUGCAAUGUCAGGGUUGAUUUUUCUCUCGAGAGGAUCAGCCCCAAACAUCAACUAUAUCUCAACUCUUUGUCUGAAAAAUAUUAUGAAUAAAACAAUUCAAAAUACAACUUUCAACAACGGAUCUCUUGGCUCUC
rnacentral:misc_RNA from 1 species